rnacentral:rRNA from 1 species
GACAGAGGGUGCAAACGUUGCUCGGAAUCACUGGGCGUAAAGGGCGUGUAGGCGGACAGGCAAGUCAGACGUGAAAUCCCCAGGCUCAACCUGGGAACUGCAUUUGAAACUGCCUGUCUUGAGUGUCGGAGAGGAAAGCGGAAUUCCUGGUGUAGAGGUGAAAUUCGUAGAUAUCAGGAGGAACACCGGUGGCGAAGGCGGCUUUCUGGACGACAACUGACGCUGAGACGCGAAAGCGUGGGUAGCAAACAGG